rnacentral:rRNA from 1 species
GACAGAGGAGCCAAGCGUUGUCCGGAAUCAUUGGGCGUAAAGCGCGUGUAGGCGGCUUGGUAAGUCCGUUCUGAAAGCCCGGGGCUCAACCCCGGGAGGCGGAUGGAUACUGUCAAGCUCGAGUCCGGAAGAGGCAAGUGGAAUUCCCGGUGUAGCGGUGAAAUGCGCAGAUAUCAGGAGGAACACCGGUGGCGAAGGCGGGUCUCUGGGCAACAACUGACGCUGAGGAGCGAAAGCGUGGGGAGCGAACAGG